CCUACGGGGGGCAGCAGUGAGGAAUAUUGGUCAAUGGGCGAGAGUCUGAACCAGCCAAGUCGCGUGAAGGAUGACUGCCCUAUGGGUUGUAAACUUCUUUUAUAUGGGAAUAAAACGUUCCACGUGUGGGAUUUUGUAUGUACCUUAUGAAUAAAGAUCGGCUAACUCCGUGCCAGCAGCCGCGGUAAUACGGAGGAUCCGAGCGUUAUCCGGAUUUAUUGGGUUUAAAGGGAGCGUAGGUGGUUUGUUAAGUCAGUUGUGAAAGUUUGCGGCUCAACCGUAAAAUUGCAGUUGAUACUGGCAGUCUUGAGUACAGUAGAGGUGGGCGGAAUUCGUGGUGUAGCGGUGAAAUGCUUAGAUAUCACGAAGAACUCCGAUUGCGAAGGCAGUUCACUAGACUGCAACUGACACUGAUGCUCGAAAGUGUGGGUAUCAAACAGGAUUAGAUACCCGAGUAGUC
rnacentral:rRNA from 1 species